GCGGCGGACGGAGACAGGAGGCGGUGGGAGGGUGAAGGGUGGGGGGUAAAGUACCGAACGCUCAUUCGACGGUAGAGGCGAUUAAAACGACUGUUGCUUAUUAUUCACUGCCCUCCUGUACUUAUCACGUCAGUGUAAUGACUUAUUUUGAUAAUAGCGAGAGAGAAAAUGUAAUAGACUAUUAAACUUAUCCUGAAUUCCCUCCCUAAGACGGCGGUCGUUGUUCGUAAAGAUGAAAAACCUUUACAGUUUACUUUUCUUGUAGGCGGUGGAAAAUUGGCUACAAUGCGAAUCAAUCACUAACGACCUGAUGCCCAGUGAUUUGUUGCUGUACAGUCGUACUUACAGUAAGGCAUCUUAAUUUGGCUAAAGUCUCCUGAUAAUACCAAAUGUGGGACAAACCCUCUUUCAUUCCGCUCUUCAGGAAAGUCACAUGAUAGCAAUCCAAAAGGGAAUGUUCAACCCAAAGCAAUUACCGGGGAAACAUUGGGAAAACCUGAAAUCAGUUACAUUAGCGGCACCUGUUCUUACUUGGGGGUCUCCAGCACUCACCAAAGCCGCGGCACAGCUUAUCUACAGGAAUCUGGAGCGGGUGGAAUCCAAGAGGGAACUGGAGAUUUUUCAGGACCAAAGCGGGGCCGGAGCGCUACUUGCUGAACUCUGGUUGGAGUAUAAGGGCAGAUCAGGGCCAUAAGAAUAAAAAAUAACAAGGUCUGGGGCUGUGCGUGUGCAUGUGUUUUGCACUGGCUGCAUAGGCUGGAUGCUCUGGCUGCACUGGGCUGGCUUCUUGUGUGGUCCCCCGGCAAACUUUAUGAUUUAUUCAGCUAAAGGCAGAGGAGCACGACCCCCAGUGACCACAGAGAGAGAGCUGCACGGAUUACGGGGAAAGGAGAAGACAGACAGAAAUCUACAUUUAACUGGUUCCUGGUAAUGAACAUCUGAAGUCCUCAGUGCCCUCAACCAUUUUGUUUCAACUGGAUUCCACCAAGGCGAAACAAACCAUGCACCACAGCUAAGCUGUUUUAAAUCACUUCAAUAGGAGGAGCUCCAUCACAAAACCAAUUACAAGGAUCAAACUUGACUGAAAUCAGUCAAAAUUCAAAGCCAAAAAUCAAGAUUUUUGCUGUGAAAAAGAUGUUUCUGAUCUGGCACAGAUCAGCAUGAAGAUACUGUGGAAAAGUGAGAUAAACUGCUUUUUGACAUAUGAGGCAAAAACAAGACAAAAGCUUUUGUGUCAAACCUCUUUUCAAAUGUAGUUCCAGUAUUCAGUUCCCUUUUAGUUUUUCUACCUAGACACUAAUUUUUCCUGUCUCAUAGUAAGGAACGCAAAGGUAGCUUGCUCGCAUUUUGGAAAUGUGAGCAAUACAAUCAAAACAAUUAGCUAAAAGAGGCUAAAAAGGUGAAUGACAUAAAACAUCUGGUGAAAAUAAUGGUAUUUCUGAAAACACCUAUUAGUGCAGUUUUUCAGUUCAAUUCACUGAAUUUAUAGAGCAUCAAAUGACAGCAGCCUGAAGCCUAGAAUUUUAAGGGGGUUCAGACAGCGUACCGUAAAAAAAAUCCCAGAAACUUGUUCAGUUAGCCCUCAGCAACUCGGCAACCUUCUGAUGAUCUUCUGGCAACCGCU